rnacentral:lncRNA from 1 species
CUUCUUUGGUUCAGAGGUACAGAUUCAAGCGUGCUAUUCUUCUCGGGAAACGCGGCGGCGGUGCCGGUGGGUUUUCGACACCUGUCCGGAUGAUGUCAGCGGCGAAAUCUCCGACCGCGGCGGUAUGUCGGCGGAGUGUCGGCGGCGGCGGAGAAGAUUCGGUUUUUUCGGCUAGGAAGCUGGCGGCGACUGUUUGGGAAAUGAAUAAGGUGGAGCAUAUUAGUGUAAGGAGGAAGGAAGGUUCUUCAGAGGAUUCAGAGAAAGAUUCUUCAAAUGUAAAGAAGCUGCUGCCUGGAUUAUCAGAUCCAUCGCCAUUGGUGGAAGAUGUAAAAACUCAAAAUAAAAAUUGGAUCUUUACUGCUCGGAUGAAAUCAUGUUGUUUAUCUUUGUCUGGGUUUCUGGUUUUGCAGGAUGCGGAUCGGAGGAGGAAUGGUCAGAGAGGAAGAAGAAG